AACUCCUACAACACGCACGCACAGACGUAUGCACAUACGCUCGCACGUGCACCCUGAAUAAAACCUUCUGCCAAAAUGCCCUUGAAAGAGGAUGACGGCACAAUGGCACUCAUGAUCUCUUUUGAAUGAGAAACCUGGGUAAUGGGAUCGAGGCAGGAUGUAGGUGCAAUGUAAACGUUGGAGUCAAGCAAGACCGGCAUUCCGAGAGACCAACUAUACAGGUAAAAGAGGCACUCCUCGAGCCGCGUGUCCCGCGGCGGGGCUUUGGGAGAAUGCGGCGCAGCCACGGGAGAGCCCUCCAUCUUCAGCAGCAACUCCAGCUCGUUGAGCGAAGCCAGCACGUCGUCGUCCUGCCCAACAGCCGACUGCCCGGCAUGGUGCUCUCCAGGUGUUGCACAACUUCCUGCAGGACAAUGGAACCCAUCGACGUUUGGUUCAGGUCUGGCGGUGGCCUCAUGCAACGGGAAAACUUCUCCCGAGCCGAUGAGAGGCAGCCCGCACGCAUGCAAGCCAUGCCCCAGGAACUCCACACCCCGCCCGUGUCCAGCCCACACUUGGUCGAAACCUGCAAUGGCACAGCAUGGUUUGGCACGCAUGUUCGAUGCAUUUAUCACAGAGCUUUAGGAACGGGACUAUAAAGUAACAAGCGUCACACUGCAGGCUAAAUAUUGUUUCGCCAUUGUUAUAGUGCGCUGGGGAUUUAUAGCCACAAAGCUAAGCGUGCCGUAGUAAAAUGGCAUUUGUUAAAUCAUGAAUAUAAGCAGAACUCAAUUCCACAUCUCCAAAUAUGAGCCUUUGUGUUACAUGCUAUACGUAUGUUAAACUUCUUUCGCACCGUAUAUAGCCAACCGUGCUAAAUCAGAGGUGAGGAGACUGUGUGCUGCCUUAAAUAAACAUUUACUCUAACAAG